AUUUUAUAGUUAUUUUUCUGAAAGCACAAUGGAAAUUAAUGAAGAUCAUAUUCUGUUUUGUGGCCACUGCAAUGUCGGAAUUGGAAAAUUGCCAGAAAUCAUUGCCAAUGAUAUGAUUGCAAAUCAUCCUUGUUUAUCAAACUCAGAAAAUGUCUGACUUCAACAAAAAAUAUAUAUUCUGAUGCCAUACCCGAGACCCCUCUUGAUCCAAAAAAUAAUUUUGAAUUGCCACACCGUUCUAAGAAUUCAGUAGCUAUGACCAGUUCUAAUAGUGUUACUGAAAAAUCAAUAAAUGUUUUCGAGGGAUGGACGGGCAAUAUGGUUAAAUUACUAGUCGCUACAUAUAGUAACCAUAAAAGCAAAUUUAAUGAUCCAAAAUUUACCAAAAAAAAAGGUUUGGAAUUUAAUAAGCCAGGAUUUGAUGGAAAAAAGGAGUCAUUAAAAGUGGUAUCAAAUGUGAUGAAAAGUGGCGUAACCUGAUAAAAACAUAUGACAAAGUAAAGUUACAUUUGAACACUUCAGGAGGGAAUGAGAUUGUAUGGAAAUUUUUUGAUUUACAAAAUAUUUAUUUUAAGGAUCCUUAUUUCGAACCAGUGGCGGUGGCAAGUACUAGUGGAAUCAAGAGGAAGACAGGAGAAAAUACUGAAGCGAGGAACCUAUCACCAGGAGAGAGUAAAAGGCCAAAGAAAUUAAUAUCUUCUCUAGAAAUAGAAAAUAGAAGACAAAAACGACACGAUGAAAAGAUGAGUUUGAAAAGAGAAAUGUUCGAGUGGCUAAAAGAAAAUCACCCGAAAAAAGACUAAUUCUUAUUUGUUUUCAAGUUAUUUAUUCCAAAUGUGGAUUCCAAAGAAUACUUUUUUGUUUUAAAUAUUUUUUGUUGAUUUUGAAUAUUUUUUAUUUACUAUAUUUAUAAUGGUUUUUUAUUUAUGAGAAAUAUAGUUUUUUAUGU
rnacentral:lncRNA from 1 species